GUGGGGAAUUUUGCGCAAUGGGCGAAAGCCUGACGCAGCAACGCCGCGUGUGUGAUGAAGGUCUUUGGAUUGUAAAGCACUUUCGACCGGGACGAAACCGUAAAGCCUAAUACGCUUUGCCUUGACGGUACCGGGAGAAGAAGCACCGGCUAACUCUGUGCCAGCAGCCGCGGUAAUACAGAGGGUGCAAGCGUUGUUCGGAAUUAUUGGGCGUAAAGCGCGUGUAGGCGGCUUUGCAAGUCGGGUGUGAAAGCCCUCAGCUCAACUGAGGAAGUGCGCCCGAAACUGCAGAGCUUGAGUGCCGGAGAGGGUGGCGGAAUUCCCCAAGUAGAGGUGAAAUUCGUAGAUAUGGGGAGGAACACCGGUGGCGAAGGCGGCCACCUGGACGGUAACUGACGCUGAGACGCGAAAGCGUGGGUAGCAAACAGGAUUAGAUACCCUAGUAGUCC
rnacentral:rRNA from 1 species